UACGUAGGGGGCAAGCGUUGCCCGGAUUCACUGGGCGUAAAGCGCGUGUAGGCGGUCCGUUAAGUCGGUUGUGAAAUCUCUGGGCUCAACCCAGAAAUUGCGUCCGAUACUGGCGGACUUGAGGACGGUAGAGGUCGGUGGAAUAGCAGGUGUACCGGUGAAAUGGGCAGAUAUCUGCUAGAACACCAGUGGCGAAGGCGGCCGACUGGGCCGUUCCUGACGCUGAGACGCGAAAGCCAGGGGAGCGAACCGGAUUAGAAACCCGCGUAGUCC
rnacentral:rRNA from 1 species